UACGUAGGGUGCAAGCGUUAUCCGGAAUUAUUGGGCGUAAAGAGCUCGUAGGCGGCUUAGCAAGUCGGGUGUGAAAACUCCAGGCUCAACCUGGAGACGCCACUCGAGACUGCUAUGGCUAGAGUCCGGUAGGGGACCACGGAAUUCCUGGUGUAGCGGUGAAAUGCGCAGAUAUCAGGAGGAACACCGGUGGCGAAGGCGGUGGUCUGGGCCGGCACUGACGCUGAGGAGCGAAAGCGUGGGGAGCAAACAGG
rnacentral:rRNA from 1 species